AAUCAACGCUGGCGGCGUGCCUCAGACAUGCAAGUCGAACGCGAAAGUCCCCUUCGGGGGGACAAGUAGAGUGGCGCACGGGUGAGUAACACGUAGGUAAUCUACCUUUGGAUGGGGAAUAACAACCGGAAACGGUUGCUAAUACCGCAUAAUGCAGCGGCACCUAAUGGUGACAGUUGUUAAAGCGGGGGGAUCGAAAGACCUCGCGUCUAAAGAGGAGCCUGCGGCGGAUUAGCUAGUUGGUAAGGAAUGGCUUACCAAGGCUACGAUCCGUAACCGGCCUGAGAGGGCGGUCGGUCACACUGACACUGACAUACGGGUCAGACUCCUACGGGAGGCAGCAGUCGGGAAUUUUGGGCAAUGGGCGAAAGCCUGACCCAGCAACGCCGCGUGAAGGAUGAAAUCCCUCGGGAUGU
rnacentral:rRNA from 1 species